rnacentral:rRNA from 1 species
UACGAAGGGGGCUAGCGUUGCUCGGAAUUACUGGGCGUAAAGCGCACGUAGGCGGAUCUUUAAGUCAGGGGUGAAAUCCUGGAGCUCAACUCCAGAACUGCCUUUGAUACUGAGGACCUUGAGUUCGGGAGAGGUGAGUGGAACUGCGAGUGUAGAGGUGAAAUUCGUAGAUAUUCGCAAGAACACCAGUGGCGAAGGCGGCUCACUGGCCCGGUACUGACGCUGAGGCGCGAAAGCUAGGGGAGCAAACGGG